rnacentral:lncRNA from 1 species
CUCUGAGCAUGAUGCCGGCUUCUUGGGGAUGCAGGUUGGGAAUCCUCUAUGUCUUCAGGCAGCCCCAGUCACCCCAACAAGGGGUGACCACAUCUUUUUGUGGUUUCUUGCCUCCCUGAAGUCCAUUUGCAUACAGUAUCAGUAUGUCCCGAGGGAGAUCCUAUCUCUUGCCUCUUCCAAAUCCUCUGUGGUUCCUACUUGCCUGGGAGAAACGAGCCAAUGUGUUCUGGACACCAGCAAACCCUCAACCCAACCCUCACUUCCCUGCCUCAACUUCCCUGGCUGUCACUUGUCUCUCCAGUUCUGAGCUCCAGCAUGGAAGGCCUGCCUCUCUCACAGCUGUACCACAUGUCCAGAACGUGACUGGUACCCAAGACAUGGGGAAGUCCUUGGCCCUGGCACCCAAGAAUAUGACCUUAUUUGGAAACAGGGUCUCUGCAGAUGGAAUUGAGGAAAGAUGAAGUCAUUGUGGAGCCUAAUCAAAUAUUCCUGCCGCAUCGAACCAGGACCAUUCCCCGUCUGCCAUGACCUUGUCUUUCCUUACUGUGUCUGCAAUGACCCUGUUUUCAGAGGUCAUACGGAGGUCCUAGGGAUUUGGAUUCCAACAUGUUUUCCCUUGGGAGAGCACUGUUCCCUUGGGAGAGCACUGUUCCCUUGGGAGAGCACUGUUCCCUUGGGAGAGCACUGUUCCCCAGCUGGGGGCGCUGCUUAAGAAGAAUGUGGAGCUUUUAAAAGUAGAACUUUGAAGGCUAAACUCAUCUCAGGGUUUGGCCUAGCCAGGUUCUCUGAUUCUUGUAAGGAACCUGUCACACACUUCUGCCACCAUGAAUUUAGCUAUGCCUUCAUUACUAUGAGAACUAAAUAAAACCCAG